AGAGUUUGAUCAUGGCUCAGAUUGAACGCUGGCGGCAGGCCUAACACAUGCAAGUCGAGCGGUAGCACARGAGAGCUUGCUCUCUGGGUGACGAGCGGCGGACGGGUGAGUAAUGUCUGGGRAACUGCCUGAUGGAGGGGGAUAACUACUGGAAACGGUAGCUAAUACCGCAUAACGUCUUCGGACCAAAGUGGGGGACCUUCGGGCCUCACGCCAUCAGAUGUGCCCAGAUGGGAUUAGCUAGUAGGUGGGGUAAUGGCUCACCUAGGCGACGAUCCCUAGCUGGUCUGAGAGGAUGACCAGCCACACUGGAACUGAGACACGGUCCAGACUCCUACGGGAGGCAGCAGUGGGGAAUAUUGCACAAUGGGCGCAAGCCUGAUGCAGCCAUGCCGCGUGUGUGAAGAAGGCCUUCGGGUUGUAAAGCACUUUCAGCGAGGAGGAAGGGUAGUGUGUUAAUAGCACAUUGCAUUGACGUUACUCGCAGAAGAAGCACCGGCUAACUCCGUGCCAGCAGCCGCGGUAAUACGGAGGGUGCAAGCGUUAAUCGGAAUUACUGGGCGUAAAGCGCACGCAGGCGGUUUGUUAAGUCAGAUGUGAAAUCCCCGCGCUUAACGUGGGAAYUGCAUUUGAAACUGGCAAGCUAGAGUCUUGUAGAGGGGGGUAGAAUUCCAGGUGUAGCGGUGAAAUGCGUAGAGAUCUGGAGGAAUACCGGUGGCGAAGGCGGCCCCCUGGACAAAGACUGACGCUCAGGUGCGAAAGCGUGGGGAGCAAACAGGAUUAGAUACCCCGGUAGU
rnacentral:rRNA from 1 species